rnacentral:rRNA from 1 species
UACGGAGGAUGCGAGCGUUAUCCGGAUUUAAUGGGUUUAAAGGGUGCGUAGGCGGGAUGCCAAGUCAGCGGUAAAAAUGCGGUGCUCAACGCCGUCGAGCCGUUGAAACUGGCGUUCUUGAGUGGGCGAGAAGUAUGCGGAAUGCGUGGUGUAGCGGUGAAAUGCAUAGAUAUCACGCAGAACUCCGAUUGCGAAGGCAGCAUACCGGCGCCCUACUGACGCUGAGGCACGAAAGCGUGGGUAUCGAACAGG